rnacentral:misc_RNA from 1 species
GAUGAAGAACGCAUCGAAAUGCGAUAAGUAAUGUGAAUUGCAGAAUUCAGUGAAUCAUCGAAUCUUUGAACGCACAUUGCGCCCGCCAGUAUUCUGGCGGGCAUGCCUGUUCGAGCGUCAUUACAACCCUCAGGCCCCCGGGCCUGGCGUUGGGGAUCGGCGGAAGCCCCCUGCGGGCACAACGCCGUCCCCCAAAUACAGUGGCGGUCCCGCCGCAGCUUCCAUUGCGUAGUAGCUAACACCUCGCAACUGGAGAGCGGCGCGGCCACGCCGUAAAACACCCAACUUCUGAAUGUUGACCUCGAAUCAGGUAGGAAUACCCGCUGAACUUAAGCAUAUCAAUAAGGAGGA